UCCAGGAAGCAACUCACUUGUGUGUCCGUGUUUAGUGUCCAGCUGUGGAGUGGAGCUUGUUGUUGGUGUGUGAAGAAACUUUUGCAGACACCAUGGGUCCUCGUCAGUCCGCCAUUCAUAUUACAAACAAGACUGAGGGCUACAUCCUUAGAGACCCCAGACUGCAUCUUGUUAGUGGACUCUGCCAAAUCCCUUUGCCAACAAAACUUGGGCCUUCUGAAUCUGGCAACAGUCUGUUCUCUAAGACUGGUGGCACAGCGCGUGGAUCUGUUGGAGUCUUCACCUAUGAUCUCUACGAUACAGCUGCAGACAGAGCUGAUAAGAAAAUAGCUGUCAUGUUUUCUGUUCCUUUUGACUACAGCCUGUACUCUAACUGGUUCGCAGUUGGAAUCUUUGACAAAUACACAAACUGUGAUUAUGAUCUUUUUUAUAAGAUGUAUUACUGCAACGAGAGAGGGUUUGUCAGAGGAAAUGCUGAUGGUCAUGAUCCGGUCCAGACACCUGAUGAAGUUAUUGUUAAAUGCAGCAUGACAAACUCCAGCGUUGCAACACUGAAAGCUGAGGUACACAACAGGGAACAAAAUUAAUUAUGAAAAUGGUGAGGCUAAAAUUAGAGUUCUGAUUGUUUUUAGGACAGAUCUUGAGAAAAGGCUUGAUUACCUUUCAUUAGGAUUUAUUAAUAUUAGUAUUUAUCUGGACUUACUUAUCCUAACAAUAAUGAUCAGGAUAAACAGUUACCAACAUGCUAAGUUAACCCAGGGUUUCCCCAUCUUCCACAGAAAAUGAUCCUCAUAACAUCUACAUGCAAAUGGUGAUGAAAAAUCUAUGAAGAAUAUAAAAUUUAUGCCAGUAAAUACAACACUUUUGUAAAAAGGACAUGCAAUUAUUUUCAGUUUCAAAGGCGUGGCUGUGGCUCAGAGCAGGUCACCUACUAACUGGAUGUUGGUGGUUGAAUCUAACCACAUGCUGCUCUCUGAUGCAUCCAUCGGAUUAUGAAUGCAUGUGAAUCAUAGAUAGGAAGAACUUAGAAACAGCAUAGAAAUUAGUUUUUUUGUGAAUGUGUGAAUCUACAAUUUACCAUCAGAAUGAAUGUGAUUGGUUGAACAGGUAUUCAGGUGGCUAUUCUGUGUUUGUGGCAGUGAGGCAGACUCAGCAGCACAUCAGAUCCUGAUCACAUAAACACACUGAACAUAACCUGCUGCUCACAGUCUGAAUUUUUAUUCUCUUAGCUGCAGCUGUUUGAGACUGAACCAACUUUGUAUUACAGAAAACCCAAGGUUAUCCCUGAAUAAGCCAAAAUCCUCUGGAGUUAAGUCGUUUAGAGAUAAAGAUAUAAAUGAGACUGAAAGCUAUGGAUGAUCACAAGAGCCACGUGCAUCAAAAUAAAGA